UACAGAGGUCUCAAGCGUUGUUCGGAUUCAUUGGGCGUAAAGGGUGCGUAGGCGGUCCGACAAGUCAGGGGUGAAAUCUUGCAGCUCAACUGUAAAAGUGCCUUUGAUACUGUCGGUCUUGAGGGAAAUAGGGGUGUGCGGAACUUCCAGUGGAGCGGUGAAAUGCGUUGAUAUUGGAAGGAACGCCGGAGGCGAAAGCGGCGCACUGGAUUUCUUCUGACGCUGAGGCGCGAAAGCUAGGGGAGCAAACGGG
rnacentral:rRNA from 1 species